rnacentral:lncRNA from 1 species
GACGCCCGUCCUUUCCUAGAGCCCCCUUUCGUGCAGCACACUCUGGUGCUCCCGGGGGACGUCUCAGGCCCACUCCAGGAUGUCAGGGGCCACCUCAGACAGAAAAGGUCCCUGUCAUCCCCCAGCUCGGUCUCCUGCAGGUCUGGGAAAGCCCAGGCCGCCUCACAGGGACCCUGCACCCCCACCAAAGCUCCCCCAGCCCAGGGCUGCUCUGGGGGCGAAGGGAUGCCUCUGCCUCCAACCUCAGUGGUUCCUCUUCCUCCCCCGGACUGCCAGGGUUGGGGGGCCCCCUUGACUGGUGCUCCCCAGGCUGACCGGGAUCGAUGCAUGGUCCAUGCAGCAGCUUCUGGACACCCCGUGGGGACACCCGCUGUCUAGAGCCAUGCUGAGCAGACUUCUCCUCGUAUGGACACCGGCGCCCCCGCCCUCCACUCGUCCCCGGCAUCUGCAGCGCAGGUCUGUGCUGGCCCCGUGUGGGGUGCUGGGACCCAGGGAUGAAGGCCUGGACCCUGCCCACCUGGAGCCACAUGAAGGCCCCACAUCAAGGAGCGGGACAGGGGCUUGAAGGUCACCUCCAGGGAGGAGGCAUGUGGCCUCUGACCCCCUUCUGCAGGAAGAGUUAACCAGUGGAAGAGAGGGGGCAGGAGAGGGGACAGAACGGCUUCCAGGAAGAGGCAGGACCUGGAAAAUGGGCCAAGAGGAGGUGUGAGGCUUCCAGGUCCAGAAUGGCUGCGGCAGGGGCACCCUCCAUCCCCAACCCUUUGCAGUCUGUCCCCAACCCAAUAUAGUUUGUCUCCCACAACACUGCACAAUCUCUCCCGCAACCCUACACAGUC